UGCCCCAUUCCAAAUAUUCAUGGACACAGUUCAUGUUUGUGUCACAUGGAACAAUGUGGCUACAGUGAAAGCACAGGUUUUGCUUCCAUCACAGUAAAAAUAAGUUACUCUGGUGACAAUGAGACCUGUAACAGGA
rnacentral:snoRNA from 13 species